UACGAAGGGGGCUAGCGUUGCUCGGAAUCACUGGGCGUAAAGGGUGCGUAGGCGGGUCUUUAAGUCAGGGGUGAAAUCCUGGAGCUCAACUCCAGAACUGCCUUUGAUACUGAAGAUCUUGAGUUCGGGAGAGGUGAGUGGAACUGCGAGUGUAGAGGUGAAAUUCGUAGAUAUUGGGAAGAACACCCGUGGCGAAGGCGGCCAACUGGACCGACAUUGACGCUGAGGCGCGAAAGCGUGGGUAGCAAACAGG
rnacentral:rRNA from 1 species